CAAACCCUCGCCGCGAGACGGCGCCGCGGAACACAUCGCCAAGCCUCCUUCCGCAGAAGCAUGUCGCCUCAAGUUCGUCUUUCCUAGUCGCCGCGCUCGUCGUCCUCCUCAUUCUACUAUGUCCAGAAGUGCACAUCCAUCUGAUUUUUCUUAUUGCUGGAAGUAUAUGCAAUGUAAUCAGGUAAUCACGGGUGUAUGAGGCGACAAGCUUAUGGCAUGGGAAUUCCACAAGAAAGGGGGUGUACUAGGGGUUUCUAUCAACCUGGAUACACUCAGUCAGUGUGCCUUCUGUCUGAAUAUGCUGAGAAUAAUGAUUAUGUGAAGUAUGAGAAUGAUUAUAUGGAGCAUGAGGAUCAUAUAGAGUAUGAUGGUCAAGUUGGUUGGUACAAUGGAAGAGCAAGAGAUGGUUAUUUAAGCCCCGUUUGCAGAGGAUAUGGGGGUGUUGGUGACUUGGACAUGGAAGCUCACAUCUAGUGGAUGAUAGAAAAUGUGAAAGACAUGCAUAUUAUAACCCCAUACACCAUUGGAGCCCAAGCUAUGAAAUGCAACAUCAAAAAAGGAAAAAAGCUGUAGUGCAAGUACAUCAAACAAAGAGAAAAUGCUUUGCUCGCCAAGGAGAUGCUACAUGGUCAGCCUACAAAAAAAAGGAAAGGAGGAGCCAAUUCAGAGCUCCCAAAAGUCAGAAAGAAAGGCAGGAAUUCAGCAAAAAGGAAGACAAGUGUUUCAAGCAUGUGGGAAAAAUCCUUUCAGUUUCAGCACAAAAUCAACAUGAAAAGUUUUUUAAAUGCAGAUGUAGUCUGUUGAGUGUUUUAGCACCCUUUAAAACACAAAAAUUGUUUGACGAAACUAAAAAAGAGAGAAGAGAACAUCACUUUGAAUACUAACUUUAUUCUUAUCCUUUUUCCUUGGUUUAUCAUUAAUAACUUUUCCUUAUUUUUAUCACUCUGAAUAUAGAUCGAAUUUGGACCUGAAAAUCUAUACCUAUAUUCCCGGCCAACUUCUCGCCCUCCCAGCCGGUACACGUCGUCCCGUUUCUCUUCGCCGUCGGAUCGCUCCAUCGUCCGGCUCUCGAUGCCCGUCCCGCGCGGCUGGGUGCCCGCUUCGUUUUUCCUUCGCGCGAGCUCGGUGCGGGACAGAUGGCACGCAGGCCUCCUAGUGCGCUACAGGUGUCUGCUCCUGGUUCGAAGCGAGCGAAAAUAUCGCCCCCACGACGCGUUCCUCUUCGUCCUCGCCUUCCCAUCCUCUCGGCCUAAAAAAAAAACAUCGCGGCUCUCGUUCUACCCACCGUUGCGGCUCCUCCCGUGUUCCGCGCCGUCACCGGCUCCAUCUGCUGCCACAUCGGCCCGCCGCCUCCCCUCCACAAGAUCCGGGCGUUGCUGCUAGGGAGGCGGCCGAACAGGGGUGGUGCCGGUGGCCACUACGGCGCAAGGGAGACGCGGAGAGCUGGAGGAGAAGGGCGCGCGACGUGCAGACUGGUGAGGAGAGGCUGCGGGGCAGGCCGGUCGGCCGGAUCUGGUGGACGGGAGGCGGCCUUCUUCUCCGCCGUUCACCACGCCCCCAGAUGCCUCGCACCUCGAUGCUGCUUCCGUCCCCUCCAUUGGCUCGCCUCGACUCCCUCCAGCUGUGUGGGUUGCCUCCCUUCCCCCUCUCCUGACCCUGGUGCUGUGGUGGGCUGGUGGAGAUAGGUGUUGCCGGUGAGAAAAGAGGAGGCGUGGGGAAGGAGGAUGUAGUGGUGCGCGGAUCCACUGCUGAAAGUUGCUUCACGGGGAUGGCGAUGGCUGCUGGUCUGGCGGUUCGGCAUGUCCGGAAGAGACGCGAGCGAAGAGGCCUGCAGGCAUCGCGUCGGGUCGUCGUCGUACGGAGGCCAUGGGCGUUCUCGCCGUUGACGUCGCACCUCACCUCGAGCUUGUCCUCCAGCCGCUCCUCGGUCCACCGCCUGCUGUCGUGGUGCUGCUCCUCCCUCCGACAACAGAUUUAUCCGGUCAUCCAGACGUGAGUUGAUUUCUUCCUUUGUGUGGCUGUUGUUCAACGCACAAGAAUGCAUGAUCAAUCUACCCAAGGUGUGGGAACAGUUCAAUUCCCAAAAGGUUUGGGGGUUCAGGUCCAACUGAACUCACUUGCCGCAUGUUGGUUCAGCUCAAGAGACGCAUGAGGAGGUGCUUGGGUAUCAUCGGCUUGCAGAAUGUGGCAGCUACUUGAGGAUGAUUAACAAGGAAAAGGAGGACGACUGGUGACUAUGCUGGGUUUGGAUCUUAGGCCGGCUGGAGGUGGAGCACGCCCUGCUGCGCCCAUGAACCAUCUUUCUCUUUUCCUAUAAGAGUAGUGUGCUAGUGUAUUGUCUAAAAAUCUGACAUAGCAGCUUGCCAGUGUGUUAAGUUAUCUGCACAUUUUCAUCUCAAUAAUGUGCUUUGAGAAUUGGAAUAAUUCAGAAAUUCCAGUUGAUUACCAUAUUCUACUUGGUCUCUUAAAUGUAAUUACCAAAUAUCCCUAUGUCGCCUUGGAUUGGCAAUUCAUUGGAGCCAUUGAAGGUGUUGACUUCGUCAGUGUGCAUUUGGUAAUGCAAUUUAAGAAAGAUUUUGUUUUGUUAAGGACGGUGGACCUAAAUUUGUAUGGCUAGCAGGGUAAAAUUCUAAAUGCACCUCUCUUUGUGCAUUUUAAGCUUGUCAAUCGCACAUGCAUAUCUUUCUAUAUGCUGCUUCCUCUUGUUGUAAAUCCAUUCACAGUUUUAAAUUUUCUGUUCCACUUCCUUCAGCGAUCAUUUUUGGCAAACAUUGGUUGUACUAAAGAUGUUCUUAUGUAGCAGUUUCAUGCAACCUUUUUUUUCUUAACUUUGUGUGGCUCUUUUGAGGAAGGCGUAUGAUGGAUGGCAGUGAUGUAGAUAGCAAUAGCUCCAACAUUGAUGCUAGCUGUGACUCUAAAUAUGAAAGACUGAAGCCUCUUACGUAGGUAAGCUUUUUCGUUGAUUCAUUAAAGAGAAAACAAGAUGACUUCUAGUGUAUGAUGCAAGCUGUGUACAAAAGAAUGUAGGUGGUUUGUUAGAAACUAUGCCCGGCAGUAGAAUCUAUAGCUUUUUAUGCAUGUUAUUAGUCUGUAUCCAUCUGAUAUGUUCAUUUCUUGUCAGCCGUAGAAAGAACAAUACAAAUUAAUGUUUAUUCUUGGUGUGAGUACAACUUUGGUUGCCCUGUACACAAAUUACUCUGAUGGAAGGUGAUUUUUUCAGGUAGCUUCAUAACGAUGAUAGGUUCCUGGCCUCUAGACCAGCAAUUCGGUUAUUUGCCUCCUCCAUUUGGCAAUUCAGAUAAAGAUUGGAAAUAAAUAUUCACUAGGCAUUGAUGUUGUAUACCAUCUGCAAGGACCUCGCCUCCAAUGUCCUUAUUUUACAAGGUGGGAGCAGCAAGGGAUGCUAUGGUAUGAAAAGAAAAGAUCUUUCAUGUAGUGAACACACUUCAGUUCAAUAUGCAGUGCCGCCUCUGCAUUGUUUCAUGGGAAGGUUCUUAAGGAAGCCAAAUUUGGCAAGGAGGUAACUUACAUACUGUUGGUAGGCUAUCCUGUACCAUAGAUUGGCUCUCUGACGAAAAUGUUUACCAUAUACUACUAAAUCACCUUAAGCUGUUGUUUCUUUGCGAUUGAGCUGUGCCUUGUCGAAUAUGAGGUACUCAAGUUCUCAAAGUCUAUAUAUGUUGGCUGCUGCUGACAUAUGCAUUGCUUGUUGCACCAUUAGUGGGUCCAGGAUCUGGAACAGAUAUUGUGACCUACAUACAGAAUAUUCUGAAUAGCAGCUGAUAUAGUUUGCAUCCUUAGUGUAUACUGGAUUGAUAGACACUGUGUAUGGGAACAACAGGGCUACAUGACCUGUGCUCACAUUGGGGUACCAUUGCAAUGGGUUUGACUCUCUUUUAGGGUACCAUGAAAUGUAAUAUAGGCCUUUGGAGAAAUUCUAAGUUCCACUAAUAUGACAAGUAAGAUGUGUUAGAAUGUACUGAUUUGCACAUUCAUUUAUUGUUAAAGUGAAAAGUGAUCUUAUCCUGACAUCCAAUUUAUAUGCCCCGCUAUUAUAUACCUGAGACUUUUAGUUCUAGGCUUACUGUAGCUAAAGUAGUUAAGUAUUAGAUUGAUAGUUGGAAAAUGUAUUUUUUUGUAUAAAUCCAGGAUGGACCUUUGCUACCUGCUUAGCCAGAAGACAUUGUUUUCGGUAGCAACUGAAAAGUACGAUGUUGAUAAAUGAAUCAAUAGUUCCGCACAUGUAUUGGAACUGCAGUUUUAGGACGUUGAUAAAAUGUUUUGGAAAAUCCCGUAUUAGUUCUAAUAAUUGCUCGAAUAUAAUCAGUUUGGUUUUUAUUAGAAGAGCCUUGUGAUUAAUCUAUUUGGUAAUUUCCUCUAUUGUUGUUGGUUGUACUUGACUACUAAGCUCUCUUAUGUAUCAAAUGCUACUGUUCUCCCAAAUUUGUUUCAUACUUCGAACUUUUUACAUGAUCCCUUCUAGCAAACGGCGCUCGAGUAUAUGUCAAUACAAGAUAUUUAGGCGAUUUCGCUUCACUUCUAUGUUUGCUUGCUGCCAUUUUUUGUACUUUGAUCUCUAAUAUAAUUUCGUGCUAUCUCACAAUGUGGCGAAAAAUUUCUUUGGUUAAUUCCCGUCCUAAAACCAGGGAAGGUAUGGCUCGAUAGAUUAUCUAUUUAUUUCUGUUUAUUUUUUAUUCAAAGUAUGCAAGCUGUAGUAGAUUCUAAAUAUGUGUUGUACUUAUUCAUUUUUCUUGGGUAAACAGGUCUAGCCAUGGUCGUACCAAGUUAAUAAUGUUGUUUGUUCUUAUGCAAGGCAACCUUCCAUCUGAAUCAUCAUUAAGACUGUAAUUUGAUGCUGGAUUUACUAACUGCAGUGGUUGGAAGGUUAAGAGUUUUGAAUGUGGUUGGCCUUUGCAUGGUUUCCAGAAACAUACGAGGUCAACAUUUGGUUAUACUUCUCAAGCUAACCACUAUGAAAAAAAAUCGAACAUGGUUAUGCUACGAGCUGUGCAUUUUUCUUGAACAACGAUAAAUGCUGCAGCUUUUUAGAGUUGUACUUCCCGACUCAGUUGCGGUGAGUUCUCCGGUUAUGAGCCAACAAUUCUCUCAUUUUUCUGGGAAAUGGUUAACCUUGGUUCAGAACGGCAAAAAUUAGCUGGCUGAUGUUUUCUUUGCACCCAAUUCGGCAAGCCGCUGGUACUCAAAACAUGAGAGAAGGUGCAUCAAGAUUGUCUAAAGAAUAUCCGAAGCAUCCAGUUGGGUUGUUGACUCCUUUGGUACUGGGGACUAAGAGCAUAUUGAAAUGCAGGUAGGUCGUGUCUAUUGAGAGUGAUCUCAACGAUGGUAACUAGGCUAUUUGGCUUACCAUGCUAUGCCAUAGUGCCACUGCUAGCAUUGAUGUAAUAUGUUUAUCUCUCAUAUGUUCUUUGUAUCAACGUGUAUUAAAUAUUUGUGUUGCAGAACCCAUUUAAGUUUCUGGCUUUUUUCAGCUGCUCCUUUUAUUAUUUAGGUGUUGCUAUAGGUUUAAUUGGUAAGAUACACAUGCAUUGCCUAUAUAUUUUUAAAACCCCCUCUGCAGUCGGCGCGCGAGGGCGCGCCGAUCUCCACUAGUUUCAUUAAUAAGUAGAGUAAUUGAGAAGUGCAUGUGCUAUUUUUGUCCAGAACCUUUUGUUUCAAUUUGGUGCCCCAAUCAAAAUGUAAUCUAUGUUUCCGCUCAAUUGGUAGUUUUCAUUCGAUAUGAAGCUUUUUAAUAUCAUGAUUUCUGUGAAAGCUUGUAUAUGCAAACUGUGGGAAAGAAAUUGUUAAGGAAACAAGAUUCUCAGAAAACCGAAUGAAAACUGCAGAGCAAAAAACUAGGUGUGUCGAAUAUGACUCUUACUAAAGAACAUCAGUUAAAUGUCUAACAAAAGCUGGAAUUGGAAAUAAAAGAAAUGAAGGUCAAAUUGGAAGCGAUGAAGUGUAAGUCAGACGAUAAAGAUUCAGCAUUGGAUAAGAAAACUGAUGAAUUGAGAAAGCAGUUGCAAGAAAACAUGGAUGAGAUGGAUUUUAUGGAGUCAUCCAAUCAAGUUCUAUUUAUCAAGGAACGCAAAAGCAACGAUGAGCUGCAAGAAAUACAUAAAGAGCUAAUAAAUGGAUUACUUCAGCAUGGGGGUGCCCGAGCACAUAUAGGCCUCAAGAGGAUGGGUGAGCUUGAUCCAAAGGCAUUUUCAAUUGCUUGCAAGCAAAUAUUACCUGCGGAUAAUGCAGAUGUUAUUGCUGCUAUUCUUUGUUCGAAGUGGGAAGCUGAGACAAAAAAUCCAGAAUGGCAUCCUUUUGAGGUUGUCAUGGUUGGUGGAAAAGAGAUGGUACAAAUAUUUAUCUAUGACUAAUUACUAUCAUUUAUUUAUACAGUACUAGCUCAGGCAUCACAGGAUCCUUUUAGAGUUACUAGUGGACCAACGUGUCUUACUGAUAUACACUUUUGAUAUAUCCUCUUUGAGAAAUUUGCACUGGUGGUACCUAUA